GAUUAGUUAGUUUAAACCAAAAAUAUUAGUUUGUGGAACUAAAGAAUUUGCUAGUCAUUU
rnacentral:tRNA from 1 species